rnacentral:rRNA from 1 species
UACGUAGGGUGCAAGCGUUGUCCGGAAUUAUUGGGCGUAAAGAGCUCGUAGGCGGUUUGUCACGUCGGAUGUGAAACCCUGAGGCUCAACCUCAGGCCUGCAUUCGAUACGGGCAGACUAGAAUUCGGCAGGGGAGACUGGAAUUCCUGGUGUAGCGGUGAAAUGCGCAGAUAUCAGGAGGAACACCGGUGGCGAAGGCGGGUCUCUGGGCCGAUAUUGACGCUGAGGUGCGAAAGCGUGGGGAGCAAACAGG